GCCCGGGUGGCGAAAUGGCAGACGCACAGGACUUAAAAUCCUGGGAGCCGUAAGGCUCGUGUGGGUUCAAGUCCCACCCCGGGUA
rnacentral:tRNA from 1 species